UACGGGGGGGGCAAGCGUUGUUCGGAAUUACUGGGCGUAAAGGGCUCGUAGGCGGCCAAUUAAGUCGGACGUGAAAUCCCCAGGCUCAACCUGGGAACUGCGUCCGAUACUGGAUGGCUUGAAUCCGGGAGAGGGAUGCAGAAUUCCAGGUGUAGCGGUGAAAUGCGUAGAUAUCUGGAGGAAUACCGGUGGCGAAGGCGGCAUCCUGGACCGGCAUUGACGCUGAGGAGCGAAAGCCAGGGGAGCAAACAGG
rnacentral:rRNA from 1 species